UGCUAGUCUACUAUGCAGUCCAUGCUCGUGGCUAAUUGGUUAGCUGGCUCAUAGAUGCAGUACAGACACAGAGUAGGAUUUGUUUGUUUAUUUAGCUUUUUGUAGGACAGGUUUAUUUUAGACUGAACACAUUUCCUUACCUGUUGUCUCAGCACCACUGCCAGCAUCUUACAACAUUUAGUCUCCUGCGCCUGGGCAGCCACCAAUCAGUAAACAACACAGCCCUGAAAGAGCUAACAAGCUAGUGCUAGCAUGUGACUACUCCAAUUCACUCCAUGAAAAACUAGAGCACAGACUUUUUUGAUACCUGAGCAUUAAAGCACUAAGAGUGCGAUGAUUCUAGCAUGUGCAUGAACAAAUCAUCCAAAGACACGCUCAUGGAGGAAGAGUUCAAUUCAGAAUUAGCUGUAUUGAUGUCUGUCAGACAGCUAGCAGGAUCCACCCUUCACUCAAGCAGCUACUGUUUCCUACUGACGUCCAGCUGAAGGAGAACUACGUUAGCACCUUUUUGAAGACCUGGGGAAUGCAGAGGUGAGCCAGCUUGUUGUGGACGGAUCCCAGUCCUCAGUCCUGUCCCGAGGCUACGUGCUGGCAGGCCACAAAGGAGACCAAGGAGUCAGAUGGGGGUCAGUUUCCCAGCCAUCCAGGGAGGCCGGGACCUGAGACCUCCUCUGAGGGCGCCCAUCUGACGCCUAAUCCCCAGGAAAUACAGGCAGGUUUCCCCCUCCUCCAUCUCUCUCCCUCCACCCCACCGCCGUCCACCCAUCCAUCCUUUCCUCCGUGCUUCUCCUCCAAGGCAGAAAAGCUCCGUAAAUUCAAAGCAUCUGUACGGGCAAGGGCCAAUCCGAGGGCCGCCUUUCCCAGAGCCCGCGCAGAUGAAAUUUUAUUCUUUGCACGAAAAACUUUCAGGGGGAGGGGGAGAAAAAACAGAAAAUAAAGUAAAGCAAACAGUGGGGGAAGAUCAAGGAGGAGAAGAGAUGAGGGGUAAGGCGCUGGUCAUCAGAGAUCUGCACCGCUCUCUCUCUCUGUGUUCACCAGGAGAAAGUUAUUUUCUGUCCUUUAUGAUGGUGAGUCCUGAGAUAACAGCAACGCUGAGCUGCAGCUGCAGCUGAUUUCACUCACACACUCGCCCAGGAUCAGGAGGACUGGUGACACCUUGGUCACAGAUUUUUUUACUGAACUGUUUCUGAAAAGUGCCAUUUUUUGGAGAGAAUGUCUUCAUGGACAUCGUGUGACCACGCUAUGGUCUCCUGAGACUUCACAGCUUUGUAUUGAACAUUAUGAAGUUCUGUGUUUCUUGUUUGGAUUCAAAGCUAUUAAUUAAACACUUGAUGUGGUAUUAAGUUAGAAAGCUUUUCUCUAGAGAUGUAUUUACAAUGAUGUUAUAGCUAAGGGAACACCAGAUCAAUAAGUGAUCCCGCUGACAAAGUGUUUGAUUAAAGAGGAUUUUACUGAUUUGAAAAUGAUCCAUUCAUACAGCUACAGUGAGUACAAGUUCCAAAGUUAUGUCAGGGGUAUUAUU